rnacentral:tmRNA from 1 species
GGGGGCGUAAAGGUUUCGACGGGGAUUUUGCAGUGUGGUAAGCGAGCCGAGACGCACGAUCUCGUUAAAAUGUGCAAUUAAAAAAUAAACGCUGAAGAUAAUAACUUCGCACUUGCUGCUUAAUUAAGCAGCCGUCCGAACCAGAAGUACCGCGGUCUGGCAAGGGCGUCAUGUGAGCGGUGAACGUCCCGCGUGGAGUGCCACGGCCCACGGGAUGUAUAUGGGCUACCAAGUCGGCCAGCCUGCCUGUCGGCGGGUCGGCAAGGGAAUGGAAAAGAUAGGCUACGCUCGUAGAAAGCCACAUGAAUGAAUUUUCGGACAGGGGUUCGAUUCCCCUCGCCUCCACCA